AUCCCGGUAGCACGAUAGAAAGCACGUUGAACUUCUAAUCCAAAGGUUGUGGGCUCGAAUCCCACCUGGAAUG